GUCCAGCUGAUGAGUCCCAAAUAGGACGACAUGCACGUCCUGGAU
rnacentral:hammerhead_ribozyme from 1 species